CCACUUCACUUAGCUGUUCUGGGUUUUUUUCUUGUUCCUUCAUCUGCCUCUUAUUUCUCUGCCAUUUCAUUUCAUUUAGCUUUCUGUGUGUCUCCUUUUUUGCAGGCUACAGGGUUGUAGCCUCUCUUGAUUCUUGGGUCUGUCCCCUUGUGGAUGAAGUUGAUACAGGGGCUUGCUCUAGGCUUGCUAAUGGGAGGGACUGGUGCCUGCUCACUGGUAGGUAGAGCUGAGUCUUUCCCUCUGUUGAUUGGAGCUUUGUCUCUGGGUAUGAUUGGGGGCCGGUGUGUGCCUAAGAGGGCUUUAGGCAGCCUGUUUGCUAAUGGGUAGGGCUGUGUUCCCACUCUGUUUGUUGUUUGGCCUGGGGCAUCUUAGCCCUGAUGGGUCUGACCCAGAUUCUUAUGGAGUCCCUGCUUUGCCCUGGGACCCAGAGCACUUGAAACCCUGUGUUCACCCUCUAAGAAUGGAGUAUUUGUUUCCCACAGUCCUGUGAAGCUCCUGUGCUCAAGCCCUGCUGGCUUUCAAUGCCAAAUGCUCUGGGGGCUCCUCCUCCCAAUACCAGACCCCAAGCCUGGGGAGCCUGAUGUGGGGUUCAGAACUCUCUCUCCUAUGGAGGAGCCUCUGUGAUACUGUUAUUUUCCAGUCUGUGGGUCACCUAAUUGGUGGGUAUGGGAUUGCUUACAUCUCAAAAGUGCCCUUCUUACCAUCUUGACAUGGCUUCUUCUUUGUCUCUGGGUAUAGGAUAUAUUUUUUGGUAGCUUCCAGUCUAUUUUGUUGAUGGCUGUUCAGCAGUUAGUUGUAAUUUUGGUGUUGCCAUGAGAGGAAGUAAGCUGAAGUCCUUCUACCCCUCCAUCUUGUCUCUCCCUGUGUAUGCUUUCUAGUUCAUUGCAUUUUAACUUGUAUCUUGGUAGCAUUACCAAGUAUGAAAUUAUUUGACCUCAGUAAAUCCUUUUCUCAUCUUUAUAGAGUUCUGAAUAAAAACACCCCUCCAGGUACCAUUAAAUAUAGAUACUGAAACUGAGAAUAAUCUACCCAGUUCUCUUGGUCCAAGGUUAUAGUGCUGAAUUCAGUACUGGAGAGUGGACCUUGCUGUGUUUUUGUUUGGUUGCAUAACAACCAUUAAAUAUUAUUAAUUUUUGGAGGAAUUUCUUCUUUCUGAUUAGGCAUGUCAGUCAGCUUUCCUGCCCUGUCCUAGCUGACAGCCAGUCACAGAACUCAGGACUACCUAGAACCUUGAGAUGACUGAAUCAAGAACAAUGUUUUUCGAAGCUCAUUUAUUCCUGCAUUUGGACCCAGUAGUUGGUUGAGUCAUUGAGCUGUCCUGGUUUGAUACUGACUAUUCGGUCUCAAAGGCUGGUUUCCUUUACUUUCUCGUUUCCUCCCUUCCACUUUUUUUUCCUUCCUUCUUUCUCUCCUUUCCUUUUCCUCCCUCCCUUCCUCCCUUCACCCCUCCCUUCCUUCCUUUCUCCUUUCCUUCCUCUCUUUCUUUAUCUUUCUUUCUUCCCAAAUAAAAUUAUAAAUCAUUUAAUUACCUUUUGCGUGUGUGUGUGAAUGUUUAAGAUGUAUCUAUUAGCAAAUUUCAAGUAUACUAUUAACUGUAGUCACCAUGGUUUAUAUUAGAUCCUCAGAACGUAUUCAUCUUAAAACUUAGAGUUUGUGUCCUUUUAUUAUCUUCAAAGCCUUCUCUAGUUUCCAGUUUCAGCCCCUGGUAUUCCCUCCAAUAAAUUACAUUUUUAUCAAAAUUUGUCUUUGAUAUUUGAACUCUUUUCAAAUACAGCACAAAUUCUUCUAGUAAAUAUAAUGAGCAAAUCCAGGAAUUCUCAAGAGGAGAAUAAUUUAUUUCAGAUGGUACUUCAUAUUAUAAAAGGUCAACAAGGGAGGAAAAGGGGAGGUAAAUAUUAGAGAAAGUUUUGUUACUUGUAGGUCCUCUGGGUACUCCCUGCUGGUAAUGCCAGUUCAUUCAGGGUCAGUUCAUGUUGGCCCAUCUUUCUCUUGUCAGCUUAUGGGAUCAAGUGCUGCAAAUAUUUUUCUGGGCAGAUUCAAUGAGUGUUAGUUUACCUUUAGUCACAUAGGUCAUAUAGACGAAGAUGGAGCCAAGGUAGGUAAAUUAAGGAGGCGCAAUCAGGUCCCAGAGGCACACAGGCUAAGAGCUCAUGUAACAGGAAAUAGAGACUCAAAAUCUGAGAAUGGGGAUUAAAAAAGGCAGGCACCCACCUGCACAGGUGAUAUUAAAGGUACUCAAAAGUCUAAGGCAGAGCAUCUGAGCACUGUGUGUUGCAUAUCUAGGCAAAGGCACAAAUGCUGGAGUGUCAUUUCCUCCAUUUGAAUCCACAUUCCUCCACUUAUUAGUGUUGUGACCCAGACAAGCUAUAUAAUAACCUCUCAUCUCUCUAUGCCUCUGUUUACUCAGGUAUAAAAUAUGGACAAUUGUAAUAUCUACCUUACAAGUGUUUACUAAGGAUAAAACUAAUGAGUUAAUACAGAUACAGUGCUUAAAAUCGUGCUUGGUGCACAGUGUUUAAUAAAUAUGAACUCUUAAGAGGCACUGGUUGGGGUUCAACAGUGAGAUUCUCCUUAGGCACUUGACCCUGAGUAUAAGUAGGAGGAACAAAGAGCCCUUAGAUGGAACCAGCAAUUCGUGGCUGAGAGUCCAGAAUGCUCACCUCCCAAAGACAAGCCUGAAUUUGGAGACAAAUGUGGCAUUCUACACCCUGGAGGAUAACUUGCAGAUCUCACAUGAAAGAGACUUAGAUAUAAUUCUCAUUCUUCCCCCCUCAUUUUUCUUCUCCUUUUUUUGUUAAAAAAUUCAGCUGUAAUUUAGUGGCGAGAACAUCCUUAGCCUUUGUUCCCUAAUCCCUAACAUAGGCACAUUCUCUGUGUGAAAUGAAAUUAUCUGUAUGAAAGCAUCUUGUACAGUUAUGGAAAGUUUAUAUUACUUAGAGCCCUUACUCAACUCAAACUAGCUAAGAACAUAAAUGGAGUUAAUUAACUGAUGAAACUGGACAGGACAUUGGAUAUUUCAUGGGUUGAAGGACAAAUCGUAGGAACCUGGUCCUUGGAGACUGGAACGAGGUAUGCAGAGUGACCUGGAUUUUUUUUGUCUUCAUUAAGACUACUUUGUGGCACAACUCCAGAGGGCACUGUUCCUGUGGUAUUGCAGAGGAGUGGCACUCUGUCAGGAGGACAGAGUAGGGGGUGAAUGGUGCUAUUUGGAGAUGUGACAUCCUUUCUGCUCUCCUUAAUUUGAUUUCUCUUUGCACUUAUUCGCUAUUGCACCGGGUAGGUUUCCUACCAAGCCUGGAAACUCUGGGCAUGCGCAACGCUAGCUUGUAUCCUUCCAACACUGUAACAGAAAGAAAACAGAGUCUUUCCUUUCAGUCUGAGUAGAAAGUCCCCAAGAAGAACUGAUUGUCCUGGACUAGAUUACGUGUCUAUUCCUGAACCACUGUAACCUCAAGGAUGGAGUCCUCUGAUUGUGGGAGCCCAGGUCAGGUGCUCACCCUCUCAAAGAUGCAAGGGACAUUUGUAAUAGAACCAUUGGGGAUUUAAAACCCAAAGAAGUGACACAUGAAAGGUUGGGAUUGAAAGCCUGAAGAAGCGACACAUGAAAGGCAAACUAGAGUUACUAUGAUGCACCAUAAACAAAAACAUUAUUAUUUUCUGAUGUUUGAAGUUAUUAAGACAUUUCACUGCAGCUGUACUAUAUCUCUUCACCAUUACCGCCAUGAAUGAGAAAUUACUUUUCCAUAUACUAUCUUCAUGUGAACAUGUUUUUUUAACAAUCCUGAGAAGAGCUGGUGACUCUCUCUGUUACUGUAAAGGCAAGAGGUGAAAAUAGGAAUUCAGCAGGCAUUCUGAGUGUGUUAACAAAAUACUAAAAAGUCAGCGUGGCUUCAGGAAGACAGCGUGUGUUUAUCAGAUGUUCUUGUUCUGGCACAUAAACAAAUAGGACUGUGACUAAGGAAAUGAUAUGUGGACAUGUUUCCUGAAAUUUAAGUGGGAGUAUUGUUCAGUGAGUGAAAGAUUUGGUCUGGGAAUUUAUAACUUUUGAGGGUCAUUACAAAGAUUAGAUAUGUAUGGAUGAAAAAUAAAGUAUAUAAAAACCAAAGGUCAACUGUUAGUCAAUUUGAGUUUAAUAUGAGUGCCGCCUCCUGUCCCUCAAAUUUCUUUAUCCACCCUUUUUAAGUUUCUGUCCAUCUUAUUUUAUUUCUGGCUUUUUAGAGCCACACCUGUGUCAUAUGGAAGUUUCCUGCCUAGGAGUUGAAUUGGAGCUACAGCUGCUGGCCAACAUCACAGCCAGAGCAACACGGGAUAGGCCUCGUCUUUGACCUACACCACAGCUCAUGGCAACACUGGAUCCUUAACCCACUGAGUGAGGCCAGGGAUUGAACCUGCAUCCUCAAGGAUACUAUUUGGGCUCAUUUCCACUGAGCCACAAUGGGAACUCCCCAUUUUAAAAACCUGUUCUUUCUAGCCUAUAUACAACCUUAUUGAUAUUUUUAGCCUUUAAUUUUUUUUACAUCCAGAGUUUUGUUGCUAGUAUGAUCCCCGCUUUAUACACAAGGAAGCUGAUGUAUAGGGAGGCUAAGUAAUUUGACCAAGCUUGAAAAAGCUCUUCAGUGGAAGAACCAGGAUAUGGACCAAGACAGGCUGGCUCCAGAACACAUGCUCUUAACUAUCCCGUUUUGGUUCAUUUGUACUAAUUCAAGGUAAAUGUUUGAAAUCCUGUGCAUGGUCCAAUUCUCCUCUUGCAGGAGUGUUUUUGUGUGAUCAGAUAGGAUCAUUGUAUUCAGUCAUUUGUUAAAUGUAGCAACACUAUUAUCAUGGUUUUUUUUUUUUUAAACUUGGAUGUGCUCUGAAUACAGGGAUAAUCGAGAGCUAGAACUGUUUCAUCUUCUUACUAGCUGUGUGGAUACAGGAUUCUUCACUUUCGACAAAGGGAACAACAUCCUGGCUUCUUGACAUGCCUCGAAAAUUAUUGGGAGAAAAAGAGACAGGAAGUGUGAAUUGAAGAUGCAUUAAGAAAAUUGGCACCAUGAAAAUGAAGCAAAUUGAAAGCAACACCAGCUUCUCACGAUCUUUUGUCAUCUCAUUUUCCUGGUUUUGUCCUGUCUAAUUUAGAUCAUAAACUCUCCAGUUAGAAACCAUCACCUCUUUAUACUGAGUACUAAGUCUGGUGUCACUAUUUAAUACAAACACAAGAAGCAGCAGCAAAGGUUUGAAAUUAAAUCCACAAACGUAAGGUGAAAGUUACAUUAAGCUCCAACUUUGGUUCAUUAUAGUGAAGUUAAGAUAAGGGUAUGGAUUUAUUUCCUUCAUUUUCCUAAAACUAGUGUAAAGUAGCAAUUAAGAGAAUGUGGUCCAGAGUCAGAUUUCCUGGGUAAUAAUUCUGGUUUGGCUUCUUAAUAAUUAUAUAAUGUUUAGAACAUACAAUAUUUUACAGACUCUGAGAAACACAAUACAGCUGGCAUUGCCUGAGCACAA
rnacentral:lncRNA from 1 species